rnacentral:misc_RNA from 1 species
UACUUUUAGAAGAACUUGAGCAACUGUAUAAAUAGGUGCUUGUUACUUUAUCCUUCAUGGUGAUAAAUGAUAGUGAUAAAUGCAGGUGGCUCUCUUUGGAUGUAGGCAUAUCAAAGAAGCACGUAAAACUUCCCGUGUGUUUUUCUUUUCUUUUCAAUAUGAUCGUUAUUCUAUUUAUACAGUUGCCCAAGUUCUUCUAAAAGUAGGAAUAGGAGAAACUCGAUAUUACAAAAAUAUCCCCCAUAAUCAGAACUGCCUUAGGCUACCUCUACUGUACAGUACCCCAGAGGGCAACGAUCCUUUCCGUGAUUAACAUAACCAGAGAAAGAUGUUUUGCAUGUUUACCCAUUUCUUGGAAUACCUAUUUUUGAAUAUAAGGUGGUCAAUGCAACAAUGACCAUGCCAAAUUCUUAUCCCAGGAAAUUGAAAAGGUAAUAAUGAUGAUGAAGUAUGUACAUAUAUAUAUAUAUAUAUAUCUCAAAGUGUGAUACAUAUAUUGUAGCUUGAAACAACAGAGAAUCUUUGGAUUUCAUGAGAUUCAAAUGUUGCAGAACAAAUUAACAAAAGCUUCUUCACUUCGUCAACAAACUAUUUAUGGCUCUCACUGAAAAACCUGCAUGCACUUCGUCUUUU